UAAUAAGUCUUUUUAUCGCUUCACAAAAACCCUAAACCCGAAUCAUCAGAAGCAUUUGGAGAGAUCAAUAAGAGUCAGCCAUGGCUAUUGCUUCUUCGUUCGCUAGAUCAGUUCUUCGAUCAAACACGUUUCGUAGCUCAGCUGCGAAAUUCGCUUCUGAAGCUAAGUCAACUCGUUCUGCAUUUCGUAUCCCGAAACAGAAAUCUAUGAAUAGUCCCAUUUUCAGGUCACCUGUUGAGAUGAGUUGCUGUGUGGAAUCGCUGAUGCCAUAUCAUACUGCUACUGCUUCUGCAUUGUUUACUUCAAUGCUUUCUGUUUCUCACCGCUAUGGUUGGCUUUCUGAAGCUUGCAAUGAUGACGUAUGAUGAAUGCCCAGUGGAUUCGAGCACAGUUUUAUGUACAAAACUCCGUGCAUUAUGGAUAACUUAUAAUUUGUCGGGUGCAAUGCGUUGGUGGUAGUUUGUUGGGUUCCAGUGGACUUGUAAAGCUCGUGCUUAAGGCAUACUUUUUCAUUGGAUGUGAUAACAUAAAGAGAGAAACCAUGUUCUACACAUUUCAUAAUGUGCCAGAAUAGGCUUAUAUAUUCCUUCCUGUGCAAAUUUUUGUUCUCUAAAACCUUCGGCCUGUGAUGGAAUCCUCUUUUUCCUUUUGAGAAGUCAUUUAUUAAUAGUCUACAACUACUGAGCUUGUAUUAGAUCUUGUAGCGAAUAAACUGCAGAAUUUCAUUUCAUUCUGUAUUUUCCUCCUCGAAGGUUCA